UUCUAUUUUCCAGGUUAGACCACCUGUCUUCAAAAAGGAAUGAUCAGACCUUCAGGCACCAGCUAAGCAACCAUCUCAACUUCCUCUUUUCCACAUUAUUAUGCAUGGGGCCAGUUUCCUCCCAGGACCCUUGUCUUGGAGGGUGGCUCUAAUCCCAGAAUGAUCUCCUCUCACUGGAGUUGCUCAGUCUGGAUCUGUUCUGAUCUCCCAGCAUACAUCUCUGAAUAUGGACCACCACGUCAAGAGGGUUUUGUUGUUGUAUUUCCUUUUCUCCGAUAGUAGGAAAAUGUUCUCCUGUGGAUUGGGGUACUAAUUCAGGUUAAUCUCAGCUGUUUCCUAGCCUAUGGGCAGAAAUUCAUCAUAUUAAUACUAAAACUUAACUGUUGAUAGUCACUAUAUAAUUGCAUUUAAAAUGCAAGGGUAGAUUUGUAGUUUCUUGCUCCUGGCUGUCUCCGGGAAUCCUCCAGAGAUUACCUUAAAUGCGUCAUACAUUAGCCCUGGUCCUCACUGGCCAAGCUAGCCUGCCUAGCACUCCUAGACCGUUGGUGACAGCUGCAAUGCCUUGUUCUGAUCGUCCACACCACGGCUCCUUAUUCCAGAUCACUGGAGUCCUCGUGCUACAGAGCUGCUUUACCUGGCAAGGCCCAGGGAUUCUUAGAGUCUCACAGGGAAUGAGCAGCCAAGAACCUUCCCAUAUUCACUGUUUCCUGCACAUGGAAUCCCGUCUUCAUAAACAUUUAUACUCCUGGACCCUGAA